rnacentral:rRNA from 1 species
ACGUCGUGAGACAGUUCGGUCCCUAUCUGCCGUGGGCGCUGGAGAACUGAGGGGGGCUGCUCCUAGUACGAGAGGACCGGAGUGGACGCAUCACUGGUGUUCGGGUUGUCAUGCCAAUGGCACUGCCCGGUAGCUAAAUGCGGAAGAGAUAAGUGCUGAAAGCAUCUAAGCACGAAACUUGCCCCGAGAUGAGUUCUCCCUGACCCUUUAAGGGUCCUGAAGGAACGUUGAAGACGACGACGUUGAUAGGCCGGGUGUGUAAGCGCAGCGAUGCGUUGAGCUAACCGGUACUAAUGAACCGUGAGGCUUAACCUU